rnacentral:rRNA from 1 species
UACGAAGGGGGGCUAGCGUUGCUCGGAAUCACUGGGCGUAAAGGGUGCGUAGGCGGGUCUUUAAGUCAGGGGUGAAAUCCUGGAGCUCAACUCCAGAACUGCCUUUGAUACUGAAGAUCUUGAGUUCGGGAGAGGUGAGUGGAAACUGCGAGUGUAGAGGUGAAAUUCGUAGAUAUUCGCAAGAACACCAGUGGCGAAAGGCGGCUCACUGGCCCGAUACUGACGCUGAGGCACGAAAGCGUGGGGAGCAAACAGG